AUAGACGGUUUAAAUGCGGGAGCAGUACAGUAAUUCAUUUUCAGUGAUAUCGGUUAAAUAACAGUCAUGAAUGAGACAAUAUAAUUUCAGGGAAUU